UGAACUUGGAAGCUUGCUUCCGGGGGAUCAGUGGCGAACGGGUGAGUAACACGUGAGUAACCUGCCCCAGACUCUGGGAUAAGCGUUGGAAACGACGUCUAAUACCGGAUACGAGCUUCAGCCGCAUGGCUAGGAGCUGGAAAGAAUUUCGGUCUGGGAUGGACUCGCGGCCUAUCAGCUAGUUGGUGAGGUAACGGCCCACCAAGGCGACGACGGGUAGCCGGCCUGAGAGGGUGACCGGCCACACUGGGACUGAGACACGGCCCAGACUCCUACGGGAGGCAGCAGUGGGGAAUAUUGCACAAUGGGCGCAAGCCUGAUGCAGCAACGCCGCGUGAGGGACGACGGCCUUCGGG
rnacentral:rRNA from 1 species